rnacentral:tRNA from 1 species
GCGUUAAUGGAGCUGUUUGUGUGGGCGCUGGAUAGCGAAGUCAAAAGCCUGCACCGCCAUAACGUUCGCCUGCGUA